rnacentral:rRNA from 1 species
AAGGUUGACCUCGGAUCAGGUAGGGAUACCCGCUGAACUUAAGCAUAUCA